UCCGAUAGCGAACAAGUACCGUGAGGGAAAGUUGAAAAGUACUCUGAAGAGAGAGUAAAUAGUACGUGAAACCGCAUGCAGGUAAACGGGUGGCGUCAAACCGCGAGCCCGGAGGAUUCAGCUGGUUGGGUUGUAAUUUGGCCAGAAUAAGAUUUAGUGGUCCGCUCUCUCUUUGUGAGAGUGGAGCAAAGUAUGAGGUGUGUGUGUGUGGCUAGGUGUUGCGCACUUGUGCUGUAGCGCUUGCCAUCACUCUUGCCUCCUCUGAGCUAUACGUGCCGGGUGGGUGCCGGAGUAUGCCACUAAUCUGUAGGGCCGCCUAGUCAGUGCAAUUUCUCCGUGGUGAACAUCACGACCGAUGGAAUUGCCAGUCCACCGUGGUCAAGUCGUGUUCAUGUGACUAUUGGAGAGUUCACUUCGGUGGUACUCUUUCAAUUUAGUUAUGUGGUCGUGAUCGCAGGUGGAGCGAGUAAACGGCGUAGUGGUGCUUCGGUAUUGCUACGUGCUAUCGUGUACUCACCGCCAACGAGUUGUUGGGUAGUAAUGUGACUAGACUGCCUAGCGACUUGGCGGACUUCGGUGGUAAAAAUGACUGUGCAAGGCAUCGGAUUUAUCCACCUCACAUAUAUGUGUACGUCUAUCCGGGCGUAUAUAUAUGUGGUUGUAUCCGGCAGGUAUUUCACAUAUACCAUAAUAAAAAUGGAGGCGCGUUGCUGUGUGUAUACAUUAUGCGUGAUUGUCGUUUUGCCUGCAAAAAGUAGGUGCGGCAGUGGUAUAGUGUAUUAUUAACGCAUAGUAUUUGUACGCUGCCUCUGGUGCAUGUGAUACAGUGGGUGUAAUAGUCAGUGAUGCUGUGGUAGACGAGCUACCCGACCCGUCUCGAAACACGGACCAAGGAGUUUAACAUGUGUGCGAGUCAAAGGGCUCUACGAAACCC
rnacentral:rRNA from 1 species